rnacentral:rRNA from 1 species
UACGGAGGGUGCGAGCGUUGUCCGGAAUCACUGGGCGUAAAGGGCGCGUAGGCGGCUCAUGAAGGCUGUGGUGAAAGUCCGGGGCUCAACCUCGGAUCGGCCGUGGCGACUCGUGGGCUGGAGCACUGUAGAGGCGGGUGGAAUUCCGGGUGUAGCGGUGGAAUGCGUAGAGAUCCGGAAGAACACCAGUGGCGAAGGCGGCCCGCUGGGCAGUGGCUGACGCUGAAGCGCGACAGCGUGGGAGCAAACAGG